UUUUAUGAAUGAGCAAAGAAAGUGAUUUCUUAAGAUGGAAUUUUCUCCAGGUGAAGAUGCUGUAAA
rnacentral:pre_miRNA from 1 species